AUGCUUCCUUUGAUAGCACAUAUGUUAUAUUUUCAAUGACCUGGAGAAGAGUUGCAUGGCUCCUGUACAGAGACAACAAUUAUGCUUGUGAAACAUUCAUUAUUUUU